GCUCGUUGAGGUCGGAUCCAUGUUCGAAACUAGAUUCGUGGUCGAGGUUGGAGUCGCAUUUCAGGACAGAUGGAAAGCAUCGGGGCGACAGGGAGACAAUACAAAAAAGAAAGCUUACACGAAAAAGAAAGCUGGAGAUUUACAGUAACCCAGCUGAAAAGAAAGACCCAGCUGGUGUAAGAAUAUCUUGACAGUCUCUUAAUCUUCAUUUUCCUACCCUCGUUGUUUAUUUUAACAUUUAUUAAAUAUUAUUACUACUAACUUUUUCUUUGAGAUCUGACGAGGUGAAACUUCAGAUCGAAGUGCUUGCCUAAAUAGCAGGAGUGGAAAGAGCUCGAGCUGCCAAAGACGCACCGACCUGAGGAGGAAGUUGCUGGUCUGGUCAAGACCCGACAAAUGAGGCCGGAGCGACGUGGAAAUGGACCAGAUAGACAGACAUGAUGGUGCUAAAGGCGCGCCGACCUGAUGAAGAAGUCGCUGGUCUGGUCAAGCUCCAACAAGUGAGGUCGUCGCGACACCGAACUGGACCAGAUAUGAAGGCAUGAUGGAGCUGACACCACGUAUGCAAAGGAAGAAACCACAACCUUCAAGAAUUAAAGCAGACACCACCACCAGAUGAUCAACUUUUGAGUGGGAAGGCUCCAGCAGAUCAAACUCAACAGGUCGGAAGAAGAAGUCGGUCUCGCAUUUUGAGUCGGAUGGCCAGACUGUCCUCAAGAUAAGUGGAGGUCGGACCCGAGCUCGGAGUUAUCUUUGAGUCCAAGCUCAAGAGCAGGACUGAAAGGAACUCAAGAAAUCCAGCAAUUACAGUAUUAUUAUAAGUCGAGGUCGGACCCGAGCUCGGAGUUAGAUUUGUGUUCGAGGUCGGAGCAUGCUUGAGCUCGGAUUCGCGAUUCAGAUCGGAGGGAAUGAUGUUGUUGAUGUUGGCCAGCUUGAAGACAUGCAAUUUUCAAACUUGAAUUUAGCGGAGUACGAUGGCCUGACUGAGUAGGUCGGCCAAGUCGACAACGUGGAAUUCCUCAAAUCCAAGAUCAAUUUGUUCAUGGGUUGGAGUCCGUUGCUCCCAAGGGCGUAUUGUUUCAUUGGAAUUGACAGAAUCGAAUCUGUGUGGCUCUGUUUCACCUCAGAUUUCCAGGCUUGUAUGGUGACGUCACUCCCUUGCGUUUUUAUGGCUUGUCUUUGUCAGGGAAUGCCUUCUCUUGAUGAUCACCAGCUCCUAUCGAUCCAUCAAUCGAACUGGGUGGCCACUUCUUUGGGAGUCCGUGGUGUUUGUCUGUUGGGUCAAAUGGGGCGUAUCUCUCUGCAGGAGGAGGCUUGUUAAUUGGUGGCUUGUAUUGGGUAAGAGAGUGAGUAGUGAGUAACACCACUGCAAGAAACAACACCAGCAAGUAUUUAGGAGGCAGUUUAAUGCUCUCGGGAACUAAACAGAGAAAGGAAAAGGAGAUGAGGAAGGUGAACGCGUGAAUGGGCUAGAGCCUAUAACAGCAGGACAAGUGUCCUCUCUAUUGGCUUUUUUGUAUGACAAUAAUACAUAUACAUUUAUAUCAAUGCAAGAAGAAUCGCACCUGCUGAAAAAGAUAUGCUAGUUGAUGAAGAUGGUGAGUUUAAGGCAGAAGUGAAUUCGAGUAGCUAUGGAAAGCGCCCAAGGAGAUCUGAUCGGCGUAAGCAACAGGUCUCUUAUAAGGAAAAUUUGAGUGACGAUGAAGGCUUCAUGACCCAUUCAAAGAAAACCAAGGGGACGGGAUCAUCCUGUGCCAAUGAAGAAAAGUGCAGAAAUGGAUUGAAGAACAAUUUAUUUAAAAAAGAUAAUCAUUCUGGUGUAGCUUAUGUGAAAGAUCUGAAUGAGGAGAACCAGAAGAAAGGUCCAGAGAGUUUUGCAAAUGAAUUAAAGGACAGCAAGGAUGAAAAGAGAAAAGAAAAAGCAGAAGAAAAUGGGUAUUCGGGCUUAGUUCGGCACUGGUGGGCCUUCGUUUGUUGCCAUCAGAGCUGACAUGGAUGCUUUUCCCAUUCAGGUUCCUAUCUCCUCUUCUCGUAGUUCUAUGUAGGCAUGUGUCUACAUAUGCAUUCAUCUCAUGCCAUGUCAUGUGCAUGAUAAUAUAACAUAUCGACAUGCAUG